UGUAUCUGAAGUCUGACGAGGAUGAGAACCUCCGGGGGCAAGAGGUUCGACUCGAGCGAAGCGAGAGAACGUUGCGUCAGCAACGG
rnacentral:sRNA from 6 species